AGACAGAGGGUGCGAGCGUUAAUCGGAAUUACUGGGCGUAAAGGGCACGUAGGCGGUUUAUCAAGUCAGAUGUGAAAGACCUGGGCUUAACCGAGGCAUAGCAUAUGAAACUGAUAGACUAGAGUACAGUAGAGGGGAGUGGAAUUUCCGGUGUAGCGGUGAAAUGCUUAGAUAUCGGAAGGAACACCAGUGGCGAAGGCGGCCAUCUGGACGGUGACUGACGCUGAGGUGCGAAAGCGUGGGGAGCAAACAGGAUUAGAAACCCCAGUAGUCC
rnacentral:rRNA from 1 species